UUCUUUCUUGACUUUCAAUUUCUUAUCUUCCUAGGCUUUCUUCACCUUAACUUUGUUGGGGGGGAAAAUCGGUUUAUCUAUGAACCUAUGGUAUUUUUCAAAUGUGUGAAGAAAUGAGACAAAGAAUAGAGAGAUUCAGGAAAGAAGGGAGGGAAAAAUACUUAAAAAAUACUGGGAGUGUCCUCCCCAUCCCCACCAGCCUUUCUUUUCCAACUACAAAUCAAAUUCCUCAGAAUCCUGAACGGUGGCAGAGUCAUUCUAUGUUGAUAAAGCCCAGGCUAAAAGAGAAAGGAGGGCCCUGAAAGGAAACCUAUUUGUGAAACUGAACAAUGGGCUCCCUUGGAAAGAAUAAAGACAUAUUUGAUGAGAUGGCUGGAACCUCAUUUGAAUUUAAGACCCAGAAUAAGUUACCCCUCUUUCUGUGCCUUUUCUCUCUCCUGCUUGUGACUUUUUUCUUUCUUCUUCACUUCCCCCUCUCUUCCCGUGUCCCCACUGUUUUCCUUUUUGCCCUUUGUCUCUCUCCCCUCAUAUCAAAUCCUCUUCUAAUUUCCUCGAACUUGUGCCUCAUCUGCCUCCCUUUUCUCAGGGGAACGGAUGUGAGGAGAGGAAAGUAAAACAGAGAAAGCAAAGGCCGAUGGAUUAAAAAACGUGUAAGACAACCUAAAGAUAAAUACAAACUACUAAACUAAAAAACAAGCAGAGCUCAAGAAAUAACAGCCAACACAAGGAAAAAACAAAGCGGUGUCUUCCAUGUGGCAGAAAUAAAGGCUCCCACUAAUCAU